rnacentral:lncRNA from 1 species
GGUCAGUGGUGAUGGAAAUUCUAUGAGUAUAGGAGAAUCAUCUGGUAGUGGUGGUGACCCCUGCAAAAGCUUGACCUCAAUAUCAAUGGAUUCAAACAAUUCAAAUGGUUGCAACUCUGACAUUUCAUGUCAUGAUGACGAUGAGGAUGCGAAUGAUGAUGAUGAUCCGAUUGAUGAUGAUGCGAAUGAUGAUGAUGAUCCGAUUGAUGAUGAUGCGAAUGAUGAUGAUGAUCCGAUCGAUGAUGAUGCACUUGAAGAUCCUGAUUAUGACUCUGAUUAUUAUGAUGAUGACAUCUAUGAAGAUGACUAUUCAUUUAUGCAGGAUCAAUUUGACAAUGCGGAUUUGCCGCCGGGGGUAGAAGCAUC